AUCAAUAAGCAAGCUGAGAUUAUAAUGAAGACACAACUUGAAGGAGAGGAGAAUUCAAUGAAGGAUAUGAUGAAGGCUAUGCAAACACGGGCUUUGCUUGAGAAAUAUGAAGCAGAAAGAAAAGCAAAUGUGAAUGAUGCAGAUGCAGAAAGAAAAGCAAAUGUGAAUGAUGCAGAUGCAAGUCAAAGUAACCAGGAGACGGAACCCACCACCAAGCAGCACGCACAGAUAAGAUGACUAGAUCUGGUUUUUGUAAAUGCGUCUCUCUCCUUCCUUUGGUGAUAAUUUUUGGAUGUGCUCAUGAGUUUUGAU
rnacentral:lncRNA from 1 species